GUUGACUGCAUGCUUGCAUCCGCUGACGACCGGCGCACGGGUGCGUAACGCGUAUACAAUCUACCUUUUGCUGCGGGAUAGCCCAGAGAAAUUUGGAUUAACACCGCAUGGUAUGUAUUUAUGGCAUCAUAGAUACAUUAAAGGUUACGGCAAAAGAUGAGUAUGCGUUCUAUUAGCUAGAUGGUAAGGUAACGGCUUACCAUGGCCACGAUAGAUAGGGGCCCUGAGAGGGGGAUCCCCCACACUGGUACUGAGACACGGACCAGACUCCUACGAGAGGCAGCAGUGAGGAAUAUUGGACAAUGGAGGGAACUCUGAUCCAGCCAUGCCGCGUGCAGGAAGACUGCCCUAUGGGUUGUAAACUGCUUUUAUACAGGAAGAAUAAGACCUACGUGUAGGUUGAUGACGGUACUGUAAGAAUAAGCACCGGCUAACUCCGUGCCAGCAGUCGCGGUAAUACGGAGGGUGCAAGCGUUAUCCGGAAUCAUUGGGUUUAAAGGGUCCGUAGGCGGGUUAAUAAGUCAGUGGUGAAAGUCUGCAGCUCAACUGUAGAAUUGCCAUUGAUACUGUUAGUCUUGAAUUACUAUGAAGUAGUUAGAAUAUGUAGUGUAGCGGUGAAAUGCAUAGAUAUUACAUAGAAUACCAAUUGCGAAGGCAGGCUACUAAUAGUAUAUUGACGCUGAUGGACGAAAGCGUGGGUAGCGAACAGGAUUAGAUACCCUGGUAGUCCACGCCGUAAACGAUGGUCACUAGCUGUUCGGACUUCGGUCUGAGUGGCUAAGCGAAAGUGAUAAGUGACCCACCUGGGGAGUACGUUCGCAAGAAUGAAACUCAAAGGAAUUGACGGGGGCCCGCACAAGCGGUGGAGCAUGUGGUUUAAUUCGAUAAUACGCGAGGAACCUUACCAAGGCUUAAAUGUAGAUUGACAGGUCUAGAGAUAGAUUU
rnacentral:rRNA from 1 species